rnacentral:rRNA from 1 species
CCUACGGGAGGCAGCAGUAGGGAAUAUUGCUCAAUGGGGGAAACCCUGAAGCAGCAACGCCGCGUGGAGGAUGAAGGUUCUCGGAUUGUUAACUCCUUUUGUUAGAGAAGAUAAUGACGGUAUCUAACGAAUAAGCACCGGCUCACUCCGUGCCAGCAGCCGCGGUAAUACGGAGGGUGCCAGCGUUACUCGGAAUCACUGGGCGUAAUGAGCGCGUAGGCGGGAUAGCAAGUCAGAUGUGAAAUCCUAUGGCUUAACCAUAGAACUGCAUUUGAAACUGGUAGUCUAGAGUAUGUGAGAGGUAGGUGGAAUGCGUGGUGUAGGGGUAAAAUCCGUAGAGAUCAAGAGGAAUACUCAUUGCGAAGGCGACCUGCUAGAACAUAACUGACGCUGAUGCGCGAAAGCGUGGGGAGCAAACAGGAUUAGAUACCCCAGUAGUC